rnacentral:rRNA from 1 species
UGGGGAAUAUCGCAGCAAUGGGGAAACCCUGAUGCAGCAACGCCGCGUGAAGGAAGACGGUUUUCGGAUUGUAAACUUCUGUUCUUAGUGAAGAAUAAUGACGGUAGCUAAGGAGCAAGCCACGGCUAACUACGUGCCAGCAGCCGCGGUAAUACGUAGGUGGCAAGCGUUGUCCGGAAUUACUGGGUGUAAAGGGAGCGCAGGCGGGAGACCAAGUCAGCUGUGAAAACUACGGGCUUAACCUGUAGACUGCAGUUGAAACUGGUUUUCUUGAGUGAAGUAGAGGUUGGCGGAAUUCCGAGUGUAGCGGUGAAAUGCGUAGAUAUUCGGAGGAACACCGGUGGCGAAGGCGGCCAACUGGGCUUUAACUGACGCUGAGGCUCGAAAGUGUGGGGAGCAAACAGGAUUAGAUACC